rnacentral:rRNA from 1 species
AGUUGCGUAGGUGGCAUAGUAAGUUGGUAGUGAAAUUGUGUGGCUCAACCAUACACCCAUUACUAAAACUGCUAAGCUAGAAUAUAUGAGAGGUAGCUGGAAUUCCUAGUGUAGGAGUGAAAUCCGUAGAUAUUAGGAGGAACACCGAUGGCGUAGGCAGGCUACUGGCAUAUUAUUGACACUGAGGCACGAAAGCGUGGGGAGCGAACGGGAUUAGAUACCCCGGUAGUCCACGCCGUAAACGAUGGAUGCUAGCUGUAUUCGGUAUCGACCCCGGAUGUAGCGAAGCUAACGCGUUAAGCAUCCCGCCUGUGGAGUACGAGCGCAAGCUUAAAACAUAAAGGAAUUGACGGGGACCCGCACAAGCGGUGGAGCGUGUUGUUUAAUUCGAUGAUAAGCGAAGAACCUUACCAAGGCUUGACAUCCCUGGAAGGUCUCCGAAAGGAGACUGUGCCUUCGGGAAUCAGGUGACAGGUGCUGCAUGGCCGUCGUCAGCUCGUGUCGUGAGAUGUUUGGUUAAGUCCAUCAACGAGCGCAACCCUUGUGAUUAGUUGAAUUUUCUAAUCAGACUGCCUCGGUAACGGGGAGGAAGGAGGGGAUGAUGUCAGGUCAGUAUUG